rnacentral:rRNA from 1 species
GACGAACGCUGGCGGCGUGCCUAAUACAUGCAAGUCGAGCGAAGUUUUUCUGGUGCUUGCACUAGAAAAACUUAGCGGCGAACGGGUGAGUAACACGUAAAGAACCUGCCUCAUAGACUGGGACAACUAUUGGAAACGAUAGCUAAUACCGGAUAACAGUAUUUCUCGCAUGAGAGAUAUUUAAAAGUUGGUUAUGCUAACACUAUGAGAUGGCUUUGCGGUGCAUUAGCUAGUUGGUGGGGUAAAGGCCUACCAAGGCGACGAUGCAUAGCCGACCUGAGAGGGUGAUCGGCCACACUGGGACUGAGACACGGCCCAGACUCCUAUGGGAGGCAGCAGUAGGGAAUCUUCCGCAAUGGGCGAAAGCCUGACGGAGCAACGCCGCGUGAGUGAAGAAAGGAUUUCGGUUCGUAAAAGCUCUGUUGUUAAGGGAAAGAAAUGGAUAAUGUAGG